UUCCUGUACUUGGUGUUACUGCGAAGGGGGGACGGAGAAGGCUAUGUUGGCCGGGCGACGGUUGUCCCGGUUUAAGCGUGUAGGCUGGUUUUCCAGGCAAAUCCGGAAAACCAAGGCUGAGGCGUGAUGACGAGGCACUACGGUGCUGAAGUGACAAAUGCCCUGCUUCCAGGAAAAGCCUCUAAGCAUCAGGUAACAUCAAAUCGUACCCCAAACCGACACAGGUGGUCAGGUAGAGAAUACCAAGGCGCUUGAGAGAACUCGGGUGAAGGAACUAGGCAAAAUGGUGCCGUAACUUCGGGAGAAGGCACGCUGAUAUGUAGGUGAAGCGACUUGCUCGUGGAGCUGAAAUCAGUCGAAGAUACCAGCUGGCUGCAACUGUUUAUUAAAAACACAGCACUGUGCAAACACGAAAGUGGACGUAUACGGUGUGACGCCUGCCCGGUGCCGGAAGGUUAAUUGAUGGGGUUAGCGGUAACGCGAAGCUCUUGAUCGAAGCCCCGGUAAACGGCGGCCGUAACUAUAACGGUCCUAAGGUAGCGAAAUUCCUUGUCGGGUAAGUUCCGACCUGCACGAAUGGCGUAAUGAUGGCCAGGCUGUCUCCACCCGAGACUCAGUGAAAUUGAACUCGCUGUGAAGAUGCAGUGUACCCGCGGCAAGACGGAAAGACCCCGUGAACCUUUACUAUAGCUUGACACUGAACAUUGAGCCUUGAUGUGUAGGAUAGGUGGGAGGCUUUGAAGUGUGGACGCCAGUCUGCAUGGAGCCGACCUUGAAAUACCACCCUUUAAUGUUUGAUGUUCUAACGUUGGCCCGUAAUCCGGGUUGCGGACAGUGUCUGGUGGGUAGUUUGACUGGGGCGGUCUCCUCCUAAAGAGUAACGGAGGAGCACGAAGGUUGGCUAAUCCUGGUCGGACAUCAGGAGGUUAGUGCAAUGGCAUAAGCCAGCUUGACUGCGAGCGUGACGGCGCGAGCAGGUGCGAAAGCAGGUCAUAGUGAUCCGGUGGUUCUGAAUGGAAGGGCCAUCGCUCAACGGAUAAAAGGUACUCCGGGGAUAACAGGCUGAUACCGCCCAAGAGUUCAUAUCGACGGCGGUGUUUGGCACCUCGAUGUCGGCUCAUCACAUCCUGGGGCUGAAGUAGGUCCCAAGGGUAUGGCUGUUCGCCAUUUAAAGUGGUACGCGAGCUGGGUUUAGAACGUCGUGAGACAGUUCGGUCCCUAUCUGCCGUGGGCGCUGGAGAACUGAGGGGGGCUGCUCCUAGUACGAGAGGACCGGAGUGGACGCAUCACUGGUGUUCGGGUUGUCAUGCCAAUGGCACUGCCCGGUAGCUAAAUGCGGAAGAGAUAAGUGCUGAAAGCAUCUAAGCACGAAACUUGCCCCGAGAUGAGUUCUCCCUGACUCCUUGAGGGUCCUGAAGGAACGUUGAAGACGACGACGUUGAUAGGCCGGGUGUGUAAGCGCAGCGAUGCGUUGAGCUAACCGGUACUAAUGAACCGUGAGGCUUAACCUU
rnacentral:rRNA from 1 species